rnacentral:rRNA from 1 species
UGGGGAAUCUUGCGCAAUGGGCGAAAGCCUGACGCAGCGACGCCGCGUGCGGGAAGAAGGCCUUCGGGUUGUAAACCGCUUUCAGGAGGGACGAAGCCACUCGGGUGAAUAGCCCAGAGGGUGACGGUACCUCCAGAAGAAGCCCCGGCUAACUACGUGCCAGCAGCCGCGGUAAUACGUAGGGGGCAAGCGUUGUCCGGAUUUAUUGGGCGUAAAGAGCGUGUAGGCGGCCAGGUAGGUCGGUUGUGAAAACUGGAGGCUCAACCUUCAGACGUCGACCGAAACCAUCUGGCUAGAGUCCGGAAGAGGAGAGUGGAAUUCCUGGUGUAGCGGUGGAAUGCGCAGAUAUCAGGAAGAACACCCGUGGCGAAGGCGGCUCUCUGGGACGGUACUGACGCUGAGACGCGAAAGCGUGGGGAGCGAACAGGAUUAGAUACCCUGGUAGUCCACGCCGUAAACGAUGGGUGCUAGGUGUGGGGGUGUCGACUCCCCCGUGCCGCAGCUAACGCAUUAA